CAAUCUGGGGAAGCAUACGCUUCACGUACUGCAUGCUUCUUUUCUUAGCUUUUCUACUUCACUCUACAAUGGCAAAGUCCAAUAGACUUGCCGAAAGCCCUUCCAUGAUCCCGAAAAUGCUACUUUUUGGUACGCUAGUAAUGGCUUCCAUAGCAACAACUGCAGGUUCUAAGAUUGGAGUGUGUUAUGGAACCAAAGGAGACAACUUACCGCCAGCACAAGAAGUAAUAUCUAUGUUCGACCAGUAUGGUAUUCAAAAAAUUCGUCUCUAUGAUCCUUACCAAGGUGCUCUCCAAGCCCUUAGAGGCUCCAACAUCGAGGUCAUGCUUGGUGUUGAGAACGACCGCCUCCAAUACAUUUCUUCAAGCCAAGACGAGGCUAAUUCCUGGGUCCAAAGUAAUGUCGUAAGCUAUGGCAAUGUAAAUUUCAAAUACAUUGUUGUGGGAAACGAAAUAGAUCCCACAGGUCCACAAGCAUCGUUUGUUGCCCCUGCAAAUGGAAAACAUUACAAAAAGCAAUUACUGCUGAGAAUCUUGCCGGAAAGAUCAAAGUCUCCACUGCCAUUUCCACCGCUGUCCUUGAAGAACCCUCUUACCCUCCAUCAAAAGGAUCAUUCCGUAUUGACCAUUUACCAUUUCUUAAUCCCAUCUUGGCCUUCUUAGCACGCAAUCAAUCUCCCUUGCUCGUUCAUGUUUACCCUUAUUUUACUUACAAUCAAAACCGUCAGAUUAAUAUCGAGUAUGCUCUUUUUACAUCUCCAUCACCUGUGGUGCAUGAUGGCCAGCUCGGGUAUCAAAACCUGUUUGAUGCCAUUCUCGAUACAGUUUACUCAGCACUCGAGAGAGCCGGAAGCGGUUCCGUGAGUAUCCUUGUAUCGGAGUCCGGUUGGCCCUCCGCUGGUGGGGAUGGAGAGGUGACUACAAUGGCGAAUGCAAGGAUUUACAACUCCAAUUUGAUCAAUCAUGUCAAGAGUAAUGGUACUCCGAAGAAACCUGGAAGCCCUAUAGAGGCUUAUAUAUUUGCCAUGUUUAAUGAAAAUCAAAAGCCAGGGCCAGAGACUGAGAGACACUGGGGGCUCUUCUACCCAACCAAACAGCCUAAAUAUCCCAUUGAUUUCAACUGAGCGGAAACUCUAGCUAGUGUUCGAUAUCUGGAAUCAUGGCCAUUCAUGGGCACUUUUCCUAGGUAAUUCAAUAACUAUAAUAAAAGAUCACCUAGCUAGAGCAAUGAUAAAAGACAAUCUUAAUGGGAACUGUGGAUGACGUGUUUUAGCUUUAAGCACUUAUAUAAAUUAACCCUUUGUAA